CGCUGCAGUCCGGGGGUGCUCCCCGCACCGCCCGGGGCCCACGCGCGAUCCUCACCCGAGGGACUCUCCUCGCCUGGAGAGGGGGAUGGCCCACCCGCCUGGGGAUGAAACCCCCCUCCUUCGCGGUUUCACCUCCAGAAGUUUGUUUUAAAGAUACUGUUGGCACAGCCGUGUUCUGGUGUCACCGUGGUGGAUUUCAUUUGAAAAGAAAUAUAGAGAGGAGAAAUGCAAGCACACAGAGGGCAUCUCCCUGCAGAGAAAUGCAUCACAGAGCAGUCCUGAGCUUACACCAGCUAAGCCUGUGCCAGAACCCAGGGCAGUAUCAAGACAACAGCUAAAAGAUGCCCUUCCUUUGUCAUGAGUGAGAACAGGAUACCAUCAGUACAAGAUCUACUUUAAAAACUUUGUAACUUUGCCAGUAUCAAGCAGGAAGAGAAAUGAGUUCCAAAGAAGAGAACCUUUAUUCAAAAGAAAUACAUUUAACAAUGGCAAAAUACUCGAGUGAUGAAAACAAUAAGGUCACUGUUACAGUCUCUUU